AGGAGCUACACCAUCACGAAAUUAGCGCCAUUCGCAGAAAGCGUGGUAGACCAUCAGGCCAUAACAGACUGCCGUUGGGUUUGGAGCAGCGCCGAGCCCAAAACGCUCAAUACGAACGGGAAAGAAGAGAAGAAGAAAGAGCUGGUUUUGCUGAACUAGCUGAAGCUCUUUCUGGUGAUCCUUCUUGGUCAAAAAUUCAAAUACUUGGUGAGGCGAUA